UACGUAGGUGGCAAGCGUUGUCCGGAUUUACUGGGUGUAAAGGGCGUGUAGGCGGGAUUGCAAGUCAGGCGUGAAAACUAUGGGCUUAACCCAUAGCCUGCGUUUGAAACUGCAGUUCUUGAGUGAUGGAGAGGCAGGCGGAAUUCCUAGUGUAGCGGUGAAAUGCAUAGAUAUUAGGAGGAACACCAGUGGCGAAGGCGGCCUGCUGGACAUUAACUGACGCUGAGGCGCGAAAGCGUGGGGAGCAAACAGGAUUAGA
rnacentral:rRNA from 1 species